UACGUAGGGUGCGAGCGUUGUCCGGAAUUAUUGGGCGUAAAGAGCUCGUAGGCGGUCUGUCGCGUCGGUCGUGAAAACUUGGGGCUUAACCCUGAGCUUGCGGUCGAUACGGGCAUGACUGGAGUUCGGCAGGGGAGACUGGAAUUCCUGGUGUAGCGGUGAAAUGCGCAGAUAUCAGGAGGAACACCGGUGGCGAAGGCGGGUCUCUGGGGCCGAUACUGACGCUGAGGAGCGAAAAGCGUGGGGGAGCGAACAGGG
rnacentral:rRNA from 1 species